rnacentral:rRNA from 1 species
GAUCAUGGCUCAGGAUGAACGCUGGCGGCGUGCCUAACACAUGCAAGUCGAACGAAGCACUUCUGGUUUGAGAUUCGUCAAGAACCGGAAUUGACUAGUGGCGGACGGGUGAGUAAUGUAUGAGCAACCUGCCUUUCAGAGGGGGACAACAGUUGGAAACGACUGCUAAUACCGCAUAAUGUUUCGAGAGGGCAUCCUUUUGAAACCAAAGGAGCAAUCCGCUGAAAGAUGGGCUCAUAUCUGAUUAGUUAGUUGGUGAGGUAACGGCUCACCAAGACUGCGAUCAGUAGCCGGACUGAGAGGUUGAACGGCCACAUUGGGACUGAGAUACGGCCCAGACUCCUACGGGAGGCAGCAGUGGGGAAUAUUGGGCAAUGGGCGAAAGCCUGACCCAAGCAACGCCGCGUGAAGGAAGAAGGUCUUCGGAUUGUAAACUUCUUUUAUGAGGGACGAAGGAUGUGACGGUACCUCAUGAAUAAGCCACGGCCAACUGCGUGCCAGCCGCCGC